AGUGAACGCUGGCGGUAGGCCUAACACAUGCAAGUCGAACGGCAGCACAGUAAGAGCUUGCUCUUACGGGUGGCGAGUGGCGGACGGGUGAGGAAUACAUCGGAAUCUACUUUUUCGUGGGGGAUAACGUAGGGAAACUUACGCUAAUACCGCAUACGACCUACGGGUGAAAGCAGGGGAUCUUCGGACCUUGCGCGAUUGACUGAGCCGAUGUCGGAUUAGCUAGUUGGCGGGGUAAAGGCCCACCAAGGCGACGAUCCGUAGCUGGUCUGAGAGGAUGAUCAGCCACACUGGAACUGAGACACGGUCCAGACUCCUACGGGAGGCAGCAGUGGGGAAUAUUGGACAAUGGGCGCAAGCCUGAUCCAGCCAUACCGCGUGGGUGAAGAAGGCCUUCGGGUUGUAAAGCCCUUUUGUUGGGAAAGAAGAGCAGCAGGUUAAUACCCCGCUGUUCUGACGGUACCCAAAGAAUAAGCACCGGCUAACUUCGUG
rnacentral:rRNA from 1 species